AUUGAACGCUGGCGGAAUGCUUUACACAUGCAAGUCGAACGGCAGCACGGGUGCUUGCACCUGGUGGCGAGUGGCGAACGGGUGAGUAAUGCACCGGAACGUAUCCAAUAAUGGGGGAUAACGCACCGAAAGGUGUGCUAAUACCGCAUACGCCCUGAGGGGGAAAGCGGGGGAUCGUAAGACCUCGCGUUAAUGGAGCGGCCGAUGCCGGAUUAGCUAGUUGGUGAGGUAAAGGCUCACCAAGGCGACGAUCCGUAGCUGGUCUGAGAGGACGACCAGCCACACUGGAACUGAGACACGGUCCAGACUCCUACGGGAGGCAGCAGUAGGGAAUUUUCCACAAUGGACGAAAGUCUGAUGGAGCAACGCCGCGUGCAGGAUGAAUGCCUUCGGGUUGUAAACUGCUUUUAUCUGUGACGAAUAUGACGGUAGCAGAUGAAUAAGGAUCGGCUAACUCCGUGCCAGCAGCCGCGGUAAU
rnacentral:rRNA from 1 species